AAAGUGUUUCUAGAAAGA
rnacentral:rRNA from 9 species